AACGAACGCUGGCGGCGUGCCUAACACAUGCAAGUCGAACGGAGAUAUGGGGCUUGCUCCUUAUUUUAGUGGCGCACGGGUGAGUAACGCGUAGAUAAUCUGCCUGAUGAUCUGGGAUAACACUUCGAAAGGGGUGCUAAUACCGGAUAAGCCCACGACGGCCUUGGUCGUUGCGGGAAAAGGGGGGGACCUUUUGGCCUUCUGUCAUCAGAUGAGUCUGCGUACCAUUAGCUAGUUGGUAGGGUAAUGGCCUACCAAGGCGACGAUGGUUAGCUGGUCUGAGAGGAUGAGCAGCCACACUGGAACUGAGACACGGGCCAGACUCCUACGGGAGGCAGCAGUGGGGAAUUUUGCGCAAUGGGCGAAAGCCUGACGCAGCAACGCCGCGUGAGUGAUGAAGGCUUUCGGGUCGUAAAGCUCUGUCGAGGGGAAAGAAAUGUAUUGUGGUUAAUACCCAUGAUACUUGACGGUACCCCUAAAGGAAGCACCGGCUAACUCCGUGCCAGCCGCCGCGGUAAAAC
rnacentral:rRNA from 1 species